GACGAACGCUGGCGGCGUGCUUAACACAUGCAAGUCACGGGGGCCCGCAAGGGUAACCGGCGAACGGGUGCGUAACACGUGAGCAACCUGCCUAGAUGUGGGGGAUAGCCGGCCCAACGGCCGGGUAAUACCGCAUACGGUCACGAGGAGGAGUCUCCUUGUGAAGAAACCUCCGGGGCAUUUAGAGGGGCUCGCGGCCUAUCAGCUAGUUGGUGAGGUAAUGGCUCACCAAGGCUUCGACGGGUAGCUGGUCUGAGAGGAUGGCCAGCCACAUUGGGACUGAGAUACGGCCCAGACUCCUACGGGAGGCAGCAGUGGGGAAUCUUGCGCAAUGGCCGAAAGGCUGACGCAGCGACGCCGCGUGUGGGAGGACGCCUCGGUGU
rnacentral:rRNA from 1 species